CCGCCACCGCCAUGUUGUGGGCGGAACAACAUGGGGUCUGCGAUGUGUCUGGGAGCGGGAUGCUCUUAGCCCUGGUAACUAAUGACAGAAUUAGAGAUAACAGCCUUAAGUUGUGGCAGGAGAAUUUCAGCAUGGAUAAUAGGAAACUGAAUAGGAACUGGACAGUGCUUCUCAGUGUGCUGUUUGUAAAAAUAGCACAGUCCUUAUUCGGUGAUAGAUUCAACUAUUGUCAGGAGCUAUAAGAGGUGAAGUAAGAAGACUGCAGGUUGUGCCUAUCUUUUUAAAGCUUUAUCAUCUUUUUCUGUGUUACUUUACAGGCAGCAGGUGAUUCUUGUGAGUUAAUGGGAUAUUGGAAAUACUUCAAACCAGUGGUAUGUGUUUCAGUACCAAAACUAUUAACAGGCGUUGGUAACAGAUAACAGGUAUUACUAAAGUGAAAGAUGAUAUGCACGUAAGAAAUGCUUUUAAAUCUCUUAUUACAGGUUUGAUUGUAAACAUUCCCUCUUUAACAAGAGUUGUAUCUAAAAUGUUGGUUGAUGUUUAGUUGCGUCUAAAUGACCUGUGAUUAAAGAAUACAAAUGGGUCUCUUCCACCAUUGAAUUGUACUUAUGCAGUCAGUGAUACACAUGGGGAAAUAAGCCAUCAGAGUACGGCAAACAUUUCUGGAAAGGUGGUUUCCAGUAUUUUUGGUAGCUUUGUGAGCAGUGCAGUGACUGGGCAGUUUGCAAAGCAGGCACAUUUUUUGAUGUAUUUUAUUCAUCAAUGGUAUAUAUGAUACAAAUACAUAUUUCUGUGAUUCACUGAUAUGCAGUGACUACACAGCAAUUACAGAUAGAAACGUAAAUACCUGAAGAACAAAGAGCUGUCAGACUUUAAACAAAACUGAAGUUUCUGCAUCUGAAGCUAAAGAAUAAAGGCCUUUGGUCCGAUCACCUCAUGGCUGUUUCUAAUGUUAGGUCUCUGACUUCUUACUGCAGCCAUCAGUAGCUCGAGUUCCACAUUUGGAAUUACACCAUCCCAGCACUGAUGAAUAAUUCUUCUGCUAACAAGCAGCUGAUACUACCAGCAGAGAUGUCAGCUUAGAGGUGCACAGUUGGAGCACUACUAGUAGCAGUGAGAACAGAAACUAACAGGUAUUUUUUGAUGUUUCUUUGCACUCACCACAACAAAAUCCAACUCUUCAAAAUCAAAUGCAUCUCACAUUUCUAUUGAGCUGGUUACACGUAAAAUGUGUUGCAACAGUUACUGGUCUCCUACAUCAAAUUUGUUCUUAAAAAGUUACUUUCACAGUAAUGCUGAAUUUCUUAGCAGGAGAAAGUAUUUAUCUUUGUAUGAGGUAUUGACUUCAGUAUCUAUCUGUAUAAACACAAAAUGUAGCACUUUAUUUACCUGAAUACGGACUGUAUUUUAAUGUUUCUAACAGUAUCCACACACACUUCUAACAGUGAGAAUCUAUGGGACUUACCCACCUGCACAUACAAAGGAAACUGCUGGAGAAUGUAACCACUAUGUGCUGCGCUAUAUCUUGCAUGGUCCAGGUUAGCUGCAAAUACGAAAUACAGCUUCUCACACCUGUUUUUAGCAGAACAGAUCAUUGCAACUACAAAAAAUAAAAUCCAACUAUACCACAGAGCUGGCAUAAAACUGGAAUGUAUGCAGUUAUCACGCUUGUUUAGGAGCAGAACUUCUCUGAUGUACAGAUGGUUACUUAGGUGUUACAAAGCUUGUAUGCAGAUUCCUUUGGCUGGAGUAUUUAGUUUAUUUAACUUAUGCAGAGGUCAGCCUUACUCCUUGGUUUCAGAAAGCAGUACUUAGUCAAAAUCCAGUUCUUUCAGAAAUCAGCUAACAUUUUCCAAUGUUCUUCGUAAUGACUGGAUCAGCUCCCAGCAUUAAGAACAUGAAUAUUCACUAAAAUAGAAGCUUUAGUUCAGUUAAUUAUAAUAAUCUGUUUUGGUUUUUUUCCUUCCUGACUGCACAAUUCUUUUUAACACUUUGGAUAAUCCAGAUCCAUCCCUGGCAAUGUUCAAGAGGUGUCUGGAUGAGGAGCUACGAGAGAUGGUUUAGUGGUUUGCUGUAGCUAGAGUAAUUGGAGGAUGGUUGGACUAAAUGAUCUUGUAGGUCCUUUCCAUUCUUGUGAUUCUGUGACCCAGGAGAAACAGCAAAGGUUGCAAUAAUGUACUGAGAAUCAAGAGGCAAUGUUUUGCACUGUAAAAUGCCUACAUUUGUAAUGUUUUGAGUUUGUCAUAUUAAAAAUUAACACUGGAAGUUACAGUAGUUUCUUGGUAUUAAGCUGCCACCCUUGUGAGGUAAGAAAUCCAAGGGAAACAACCUGUAAGGUCCAGAGCCAGAAGAGCUGUUACAAGUAACACAAUUCCAUGCAUUUUGAUGACUUCAGCAAUCUCAGAAAGUAAAUAUGAGAGGAAUACACUGACCAGCCUGGAAUUCCUCCCUUCAGAUUAAACCACACAGCAGCAUAUGGAUGAAAUAUUUUGUUUCAGCUCAUAUUGUUUUGACAAAGAAGGGAUUGUAAACUUAGUCUCAAAUAGUUAGGAACACACCCAUCACAUACACAUUUGACUUGAGCAGAUGGAAGAUUCUCACACAGAAUAAAGAAUUAUAUGAUUGGUUUAACUCAAAUAUGUGAGAUGAGCUACGUGACAAAAAGGGAGUACGUGAAGCAACACUUGGACUGUGCCUGAGGACAUGCAGAAGGUGGGUGUGGGAAAGAAAGCUGGGAAUUUAUGUCAAAGAUGUAUCUAUCUCAUAAAAUUAAACAGUGCAAUAUAAAGGUUAAUAAUUAAAGCCA